rnacentral:rRNA from 1 species
UACGUAGGGGGCAAGCGUUGUCCGGAUUUAUUGGGCGUAAAGAGCGUGUAGGCGGCCAGACAGGUCCGUUGUGAAAACUAGAGGCUUAACCUCUAGACGUCGAUGGAAACCGUUUGGCUAGAGUCCGGAAGAGGAGAAUGGAAUUCCUGGUGUAGCGGUGAAAUGCGCAGAUAUCAGGAAGAAUACCCGUGGCUAAGGCGGUUCUCUAGUACGGUACUGACGCUGAGACGCGAAAGCGUGGGGAGCGAACAGG